rnacentral:rRNA from 1 species
AAGACCUUGCGCUUUUGGAGCGGCCGAUGCCUGAUUAGCUUGUUGGUAAGGUAAAAGCUUACCAAGGCUUCGAUCAGUAGCUGGUCUGAGAGGACGACCAGCCACACUGGGACUGAGACACGGCCCAGACUCCUACGGGAGGCAGCAGUGGGGAAUUUUGGACAAUGGGGGCAACCCUGAUCCAGCCAUGCCGCGUGAGUGAAGAAGGCCUUCGGGUUGUAAAGCUCUUUCAACCGGAACGAAACGGUUACGGUUAAUACCCGUGAUUACUGACGGUACCGGAAGAAGAAGCACCGGCUAACUACGUGCCAGCAGCCGCGGUAAUACGUAGGGUGCGAGCGUUAAUCGGAAUUACUGGGCGUAAAGCGUGCGCAGGUGGUUUUGUAAGUCAGAUGUGAAAGCCCCGGGCUCAACCUGGGAACU